GGAAAUUGAAGGUUCGUUCGUUCCUAGAAGAGUUUCCCCAUUUCCGUGUGGUAAUCCUCUCGAAGGCGUAGAAGCAUCAGUGUUGAAGGCACGCAAGGCCGGCCGGUGAUGAAGAGAGUACCGCGGAUCAAGUUUCCUCAGAGGCGUCCCAAGCCUUCUGAUUCGACAUCCCACACACAAGAGGCUUCAACAAAUGAGGAUCUUGUACAAAAAUAUUUCUCCAGGACUUCAGCCAGCAUGUCGACUGGAGGAAAAGCUACUGAUCAGCCCAAGAGAACUCCUGUGUCUCAAGAUGAAAUUGAUGCUAUCAUGUUGGGUGGCUGUUUCUGAUCUUUCUCAAUAGCUUUGUGGAUGGCGGAAAAGACUCGAACUUGAACAAGAUUGUCCGGUAUCCUUUUUAACCGAAACUUAUUUGUGUGUUUGCCGUCUGUAUAUUUUUGUUGUGUUUGUCUUGAUGGUUUGCUGUUCUAGCAGCUUUGUUUCAAUUGCAAUAAAAAGAACAUGUAGAUAGUGUCAUAUGAUUUACUUGGAUCAAUGCCAUCUUUGCUCCAAUGUAGAUUUUGAUUUUGUUGUUUU